rnacentral:sRNA from 1 species
AACUAUACAAUUAUGGUGUGUGUUUCUGCGACGAGCGUCCGUCUAUCCGGUGGAACGCACGCCGCUCUAGGCUUGCGAUGCUCCCGGGGUCCCCGCUUCUAGCUUGGGCCUGGCGCACAGCAGCGCCCAGACUGCAAGGGGACGCUUGAAACUUGCUGGAGGAGCCGGGGGGAAGGCAGCGCCCAGCGAGGCGGCCGGAGCGCGCGCCCACAGGUAGAACUGCAUGUCCACCUAGACGGAGCCAUCAAGCCUGAAACCAUCUUAUACUAUGGCAGGAGGAGAGGGAUCGCCCUCCCAGCUAACACAGCAGAGGGGCUGCUGAACGUCAUUGGCAUGGACAAACCACUCACCCUUCCAGGCUUCCUGGCCAAGUUUGACUACUACAUGCCUGCUAUCGCGGGCUGCCGGGAGGCUAUCAAAAGGAUUGCCUAUGAGUUUGUAGAGAUGAAGGCCAAAGAGGGCGUGGUGUACGUGGAGGUGC